UUUAAACGACUCCAAACAGGUCCAGAGUAGAGAUGACUGAUGCCCUAGACACCAAACUCAUAGUUGAUUAUUUCCAUUAGCCCUAACAUCGCCGCUGUCAGCGCCGAUUGUGAAGAGGUUAAACUCAUAGCUGAUUAUUUCUAUCAUCCCUAACACCACUGCUGCCAACGCCGAUUGUGAAGAGGUCAAAAUCAUACUGGCGAGGCUCGACGCCAUUAUUGGACUCGGCUCGAGUAUUAAAACGACGGGUGAAACUACUAGAACUAGCACUAGAAAAAGUUAGCGAUUGAGGAAGAAAAAGAAGUGCAGUUUGUUAGGGUAGUUAGCGAUUGAGGAAGAAAAAGAAGUGCCAUUAGCGAUUGAGGAAGAAAAAGAGGCAUGGGCGGUGUAUUUAUGGUGGUGCUGAUGGAGUUUUUUAGGGCAGUUGUUGUCGUAGACGAAAAAGUUACAGCAAAGAGAGUUUUGUGGUGGAGGUGCCAGAUGAAUAAGUGGAGGAGGAGGUGAUGGCAGAUGGUGAGGGGGGAAAAUUCUAGAGAGAAUGAGGAGACUCUCUCUCUCUAAACCCUCGAGGAUGCACUCCAGUCACGGUUUUUUUAGUUUUUA
rnacentral:lncRNA from 1 species